UGCGUAGGUGGCGCUGUAAGUCGGGUGUGAAAUCCUGAGGCUUAACCUCGGAACUGCAUUCGAUACUGCGGCGCUUGAGGACUGGAGAGGAGAUUGGAAUUCAUGGUGUAGCAGUGAAAUGCGUAGAGAUCAUGAGGAAGACCAGUGGCGAAGGCGGGUCUCUGGACAGUUCCUGACACUGAGGCACGAAGGCCAGGGGAGCAAACG
rnacentral:rRNA from 1 species